GAUGAAGAACGUAGCGAAAUGCGAUAAGUAAUGUGAAUUGCAGAAUUCAGUGAAUCAUCGAAUCUUUGAACGCACAUUGCGCCCGCCAGUAUUCUGGCGGGCAUGCCUGUUCGAGCGUCAUUUCAACCCUCAGGCCCCCAGUGCCUGGUGUUGGGGAUCGGCCCAGCCUUCCUGUAAGGCCGCCGGCCCCGAAAUCUAGUGGCGGUCUCGCUGUAGUCCUCCUCUGCGUAGUAGCACAACCUCGCAGUUGGAACGCGGCGGUGGCCAUGCCGUUAAACCCCCCACUUCUGAAAGUUGACCUCGGAUCAGGUAGGAAUACCCGCUGAACUUAAGCAUAUCAAUAAGCGGAGGA
rnacentral:misc_RNA from 1 species